rnacentral:rRNA from 1 species
AAAGCGGAGGAAAAGAAACUAACAAGGAUUCCCCUAGUAACGGCGAGUGAACCGGGAAGAGCUCAAAUUUGAAAUCUGGCGUCCUCAGGGCGUCCGAGUUGUAAUCUAUAGAGGCGUUUUCCGUGCCGGACCGUGUCCAAGUUCCUUGGAACAGGAUAUCAAAGAGGGUGACAAUCCCGUACUUGACACGACGACCGGUGCUCUGUGAUACGUCUUCUACGAGUCGAGUUGUUUGGGAAUGCAGCUCAAAAUGGGUGGUGAGUUCCAUCUAAAGCUAAAUAUUGGCGAGAGACCGAUAGCGAACAAGUACCGUGAGGGAAAGAUGAAAAGCACUUUGGAAAGAGAGUUAAACAGUACGUGAAAUUGUUGAAAGGGAAACGAUUGAAGUCAGUCGUGACCGAGAGGCUCAGCCGGUUCUGCCGGUGUAUUCCCCUCGGUCGGGUCAACAUCAGUUUUGUCCGGUGGAUAAGGGCGGUAGGAAGGUGGCACCCUCGGGUGUGUUAUAGCCUGCCGUCGCAUACAUCGGGUGAGACUGAGGAAUGCAGCUCGCCUUCAUGGCCGGGGUUCGCCCACGUCCGAGCUUAGGAUGUUGACAUAAUGGCUUUAAACGACCCGUCUUG